rnacentral:lncRNA from 1 species
GCCAGCUUGAAUCCUCCGAUCGCCGGGCUCCCGAAGCUUGUAGCCCCAGGGUGGAUGAAGGUACAGCGAGCCACACCCGGGUCCACAGUGAGUCCCUCCGGCCCUAGGUCUGGGCAGCCAGACCUUUGCCCUGGUUGGUUCGCAGGCAGCAGAUGCCUGCGUCCUUUGAGAGCCGUCCCUGACGGACUCUCUGCAGCCCCGCCAGCUUAUCUGGAAGCGGCCCCCGCGCCAUCUGGACCCGAGAAUCCGAGCCCUCCGGUCUGGCCCGUCAUUUCACUCGAGUCAGCGAAGAUUUAUGGCCCCGUGCAGUGCACCAGCCCCCAUCAGGGUCUGCGCCGGGCAUGGGCCAGGGGACCCACGGCGCGGGCUGUCCAUCAGCCUGUCCGGGAGCAGUGGGGGUCCUCCUCCCGAGGCUUCCUGCCAGGACGGGCAGACGUUGCACAGCACGUCCGGCCCGAAGCGAGUGUUUCCUUUGGCAGAAGGUUCUCUUCGCCGAGGCUGCGUCAGCCAGAAAGGCUGGGAUUGCAGAAGAUCAAGAAACCGUCCUUUUCGUCUUCAACUCACCUGUCGGGCACGGUCCCGUCUCACCUUUACCACAAAGCGACAGCACAUUCGGGGUUAAAAUCACUCAUCCUCCGUCUGCGGCAAAAGAUCUCGGUGUGGGGAGGUGAGGGCGGGGGCGGGGGGGCGGCCAGGACGGCUCUGUCCCGGGUUUCACACGCGGUUGCUGUCCCAGAAACGCACGCUCGAUGCCAGGGGCCCCGGCUCCUGCUUGACGCGUCGGGCCAGGUGCCCCCGCGGCACCCGCUCCUGGAGGCACAGCCUUCUGAAGCUCGGGGCCCAGCCCCUCCCAUCCAAGAACACGGCUGUCAGAGGGAACCCACCGUUCCGCACACAGGGUUUAUCGACCGCCCGGAAAGCAGCCAUUCCGCCAGUCUCAACCGCUCCACUGCCGUUGCAGGGCACAGAACUGCCGGCGCGUUUUCACAAGAGUGCGCGCACCAGGCGCUGGAUCCAAGAGCACGGCCGCAGGUGGUGCUCGCACAGUGA